rnacentral:rRNA from 1 species
GAUGAACGCUAGCUACAGGCUUAACACAUGCAAGUCGAGGGGAAACGAUAGAGAAAGCUUGCUUUUUCUAGGCGUCGACCGGCGCACGGGUGAGUAACGCGUAUCCAACCCGCCCAUCACUUGUGGAUAACCGUGCGAAAGUAAGACUAAUACCCAAUGAUAUCUCUAGAAGACAUCUGAAAGGGAUUAAAGAUUUAUCGGUGAUGGAUGGGGAUGCGUCUGAUUAGCUUGUUGGCGGGGUAACGGCCCACCAAGGCGACGAUCAGUAGGGGUUCAUAGAGUAAGGUCCCCCACAUUGAAACUGAGACACGGUCCAGACUCCGACGGGAGACAGCAGUGCGGAAUGUUGGUAAAUGGGCGAGAGCCUGAACCAGCCAAGUAUCGUGCAGGGAGACGGACGUAUGGGUUGUAAACUGCUUUUAUACGGGGAUAAAGUGGGUCACGUGUGGCUUAUUGCAGGUACCGUAUGAAUAAGGACCGGCUAAUUCCGUGCCAGCGGACGCAGUAA